UACGUACCUGGAAGAAGACGUCCACGUGCU
rnacentral:piRNA from 1 species